rnacentral:rRNA from 1 species
CGGAGGGUGCAAGCGUUAUCCGGUAUUUACUGGGGUUUAAAGGGUGUGUAGGCGGGCUUUUAAGUCAGCGGUGAAAUCUCCGGGCUCAACCCGGAAACUGCCAUUGAUACUAUUAGUCUUGAAUUUUGUUGAGGUAGGCGGAAUAAGUCAUGUAGCGGUGAAAUGCAUAGAUAUGACUUAGAACACCAAUUGCGAAGGCAGCUUGCUAAACAAAUAUUGACGCUGAGGCACGAAAGCGUGGGGAUCAAACAGGAUUAGAUACCCUGGUAGUCCACGCCCUAAACGAUGAUUACUCGACAUACGCGAUACACAGUGUGUGUCUGAGCGAAAGCAUUAAGUAAUCCACCUGGGAAGUACGACCGCAAGGUUG